rnacentral:rRNA from 1 species
AAUGAACGUUGGCGGCGUGGAUUAGGCAUGCAAGUCGAGCGAGAACCCCGCAAGGGGGGACAGCGGCGCAAGGGACAGUAAUGUGUAGAUCAUCUGCCCUCAGGUCCGGGAUAGCUGCGGGAAACUGCAGGUAAUACCGGAUAACAUCUCCGGAUCAAAGGUGUGAUUCCGCCUGAGGAUGAGUCUACAUCCUAUUAGCUAGUUGGUAGGGUAACGGCCUACCAAGGCAAUGAUGGGUAGCGGGUGUGAGAGCACGACCCGCGUCAUUGGGACUGAGACACUGCCCAGACACCUACGGGUGGCUGCAGUCGAGAAUCUUCGGCAAUGGGCGCAAGCCUGACCGAGCGACGCCGCGUGUGGGAUGAAGGCCUUCGGGUUGUAAACCACUGUCAGAGGGGAUGAAAUGCAGGUGGGUUCUCCCAUCUGUUUGACAUAGCCUCAGAGGAAGGACGGGCUAAGUUCGUGCCAGCCGCCGCCGUAACAC